rnacentral:rRNA from 1 species
GACGAACGCUGGCGGCGUGCUUAACACAUGCAAGUCGAGCGGUAAGGCCCUUCGGGGUACACGAGCGGCGAACGGGUGAGUAACACGUGAGUAAUCUGCCCAUCACUUCGGGAUAACUCCGGGACACCGGUGCUAAUACCCAAUAUGACCACUUCAGUCAUCUGAUGGUGGUGGAAAGUUCCGGCGGUGAUGGAUGAGCUCGCGGCCUAUCAGCUUGUUGGUGGGGUAGUGGCCUACCAAGGCUUCGACGGGUAGCCGGCCCGAGAGGGUGACCGGCCACACUGGGACUGAGACACGGCGCAGAAUCCUACGGGAGGCAGCAGUGGGGAAUAUUGGACAAUGGGCGAAAGCCUGAUCCAGCAACGCCGCGUGAGGGAUGACGGCCUUCGGGUUGUAAACCUCUUUCAGCAGGGACGAAGCGCAAGUGACGGUACCUGCAGAAGAAGCACCGGCCAACUACGUG